UACGAAGGGGCUAGCGUUGCUCGGAAUGACUGGGCGUAAAGGGCGCGUAGGCGGUUUGUACAGUCAGAUGUGAAAUUCCCGGGCUCAACCUGGGGGCUGCAUUUGAUACGUAUGGACUUGAGUGGGGAAGAGGGUCGUGGAAUUCCCAGUGUAGAGGUGAAAUUCGUAGAUAUUGGGAAGAACACCGGUGGCGAAGGCGGCGACCUGGUCCUUGACUGACGCUGAGGCGCGAAAGCGUGGGGAGCAAACAGG
rnacentral:rRNA from 1 species